AUUCCAGCUCCAAUAGCGUAUAUUAAUGUUGUUGCAGUUAAAAAGCUCGUAGUUGGAUUUCUGAUGGGAUCGACCCGGUCGGCUCCGAAAGGGGUCGCACUGGUGGUCUGUCCGGUCAUCCUCGAGGGGAGGCUUUCUGGCAUUCAUUUGUUGGGGAGUCGACGCUCGUCGUUUACUGUGAACAAAUUAGAGUGUUCAAAGCAGGCUUAGGCCGUUGAAUACAUUAGCAUGGAAUAAUAAGAUAGGACUUUGGUGGUUUAUUUUGUUGGUUUGCACGCCGAAGUAAUGAUUAACAGGGACAGUCAGGGGCACUCGUAUUCCGCCGAGAGAGGUGAAAUUCUCAGACCAGCGGAAGACGAACCACUGCGAAAGCAUUUGCCAGGGAUGUUUUCAUCG
rnacentral:rRNA from 1 species